UCUGGAACAUAUGGAUGAAUGUUGGCAAAUAAUGGAUUUGUGAUUGGCAUCAUUUCGGUGACAGCAUUCAACUUCAUUGUGCACGAACCCAAUGGGGUCAUGGCAUGAGCUAAAGAUAGAUCCUUCGACUGCAAAUGAUGAAUAUAACGCAUAAGUUCAGUUUCCGAAUGGUAUCUGUUAAACACGGGAUGUUGUAAAUAGAGGGUUGUUCGUCUAAAGUUUUCAGGAAGAGAACAAAUGCUGAGAUUAUCGACUGUUGAAGCAGAAUUUCCAUUAGGUUCCGACGUU